GUAUAAGAGCUCAGCUCAGAGAGGACAUUUGCUGAGAACCCAGAGUUGGGCUACAAGACAUUGUAGGCUACCAAGAGUUGAAAUGGGUCUUCCAGCCUAGAGUAGGCAACACCUUUUCUGUGUUAUAGUGUAUGGUUUAGCAGAUAUGAAGGAAAAGACAUUGUCCAGUUAUGGCAGAAUAGCAAAAUGGCCACCAUGAUGAUGAUGUGUGACGUUGUACAUGGCACCGUAGUUAUCCACCGCCAUCAAAACACACCUUUUCUGUUAUCAUGUUUUCUGUGUUCUAGUCAUCUGCUGGCAGAGACAAUCCUAGACGGACAUGCUGCACUUAUGCUGAGGAAGGCUUUUAUCAUGGGUCAUCCUAUAUCUUCCCGGCAGCUCAGAGAAGACGCAGGAUUGGCCGCACAAUACACCGAUGGUAACAUUGACAUGUCUGAUGAAGGAACAAGGUGCUACUACAGAGAUGGCUACAUUGAGCUGGUCAAAGCAUACCACAAGAAGGGGAUAAUCAACAAGAAUCAAGUAAAAAAGAUCAUUUCAUGGGUGGAAAGAGACAUGCACCUGGACCGGGAUACCCAAGAGUAUGAGGAGAUCCUUGAUUACAUUAAACGGCAUUUUCAUGUUUUCCGGUGGUAGAAAUGACAAACAAACUCAGACAAUACAGAGUAAAUACAGAUUGUGUACUCUAACAGGAGUUCCCAAGUUAAAAACGUUUCUAUGAUAUGCAAAUUAUGGAAUUCAAUAUUGUUGGAUUCUAGCUUGAAAUAUACUUAUUUAUGUUACCAUUCUAGAACUCAUUGAUUACUUUACAUGUAUAAGGAAUACAUAUGUUGGGGUCAAGGAAGGGUAGAUAGGGACUUUUGGAAAGUUACUGAGUGUAGAAAGUUCAUAUUCUGUUCCAUCUUUCUGAGGAGGGAGGCGAAGGGCAAUAGUUAGUCUCUGAUAAGGCAGGCCAGCUGCGGAACUAGGGAGGAGCGAGGAAUGUGAAACCUCUGGGAGGCAGGCCAGAGAGACCCACCACAACGACUCUCCUACUACAGUCCUAUCUCACACAUACACUUCCACGCAUAAAGCAGGGCUAUGACUACACCAGUGAGAGGAACCAAUUAAGAUCCUGCCUAGCAACAGAGAUGUAUUGGCUGUCUAGAUGUGUAAGGACAUGACCCCACAUAUUAGAAGGUUAUAAAUAUAUGUGCUUGUGUAAUCAUGCCUUGUCUUUGCAGCUGUAUGAUCCAGUGGGUGAGUAAACUUGGUUUGAGAAUUUUGUAGUCGUCCGUUUGAGUUUUUACUCCGUUUGUUCAGAAACUAACAGUAUAAAUAUCAUAAUGAGGAGUAUAAUUUAUUGCUGAUAAUUGUUGCAAAGUUUUUUGGCCUACUGUAUAGUUGGUGCCUGGUUGGUUAUGUUCAGCAGUGUACUAGUAGUAGAUCCUGUCUGCCUGUUGCAUUGGUAAAUGUACAGCCUAUAGAUUCUUCUCAAAAUGUUUAGAUUUCCUGAUUCUCUGCAUUUAUUGUAACAUUAUGCAGUAUCCACUAGCUCAAUGUAUGGAAAAACCUUUAUUAAAAGAUCAGCUGUUUUGGAAGCAGCAAACAGUGA